GAUGAACGCUGGCGGCGUGCUUAACACAUGCAAGUCGAACGAUGAAGCCCAGCUUGCUGGGUGGAUUAGUGGCGAACGGGUGAGUAACACGUGAGUAACCUGCCCUUAACUCUGGGAUAAGCCUGGUAAACUGGGUCUAAUACCGGAUAGGAGCGUCCACCGCAUGUUGUGUGUUGGAAAGAUUUAUCGGUUUUGGAUGGACUCGCGGCCUAUCAGCUUGUUGGUGAGGUAAUGGCUCACCAAGGCGACGACGGGUAGCCGGCCUGAGAGGGUGACCGGCCACACUGGGACUGAGACACGGCCCAGACUCCUACGGGAGGCAGCAGUGGGGAAUAUUGCACAAUGGGCGAAAGCCUGAUGCAGCGACGCCGCGUGAGGGAUGACGGCCUUCGGGUUGUAAACCUCUUUCAGUAGGGAAGAAGUGAAAGUGACGGUACCUGCAGAAGAAGCACCGGCUAACUACGUG
rnacentral:rRNA from 1 species